GUAACAACGAACCAUGAGAAGUCAGCAGAUGUCAUAGUAGCAGAGUAAGGAAAAAAAAAUCAAUACCUCUGUGAAGGAC
rnacentral:ncRNA from 1 species